AAUCUUAAGGUGAAUGGGCUCUGUACGCUAUUAUUUAUCACACUUACUUUUAAUUCCUUUAACAACUUAAACUCUAGUGGAGUGUGUUCAUGAAUAAAGGAGAUAAUGGCAGAAGUACAGUACGAACUAAACUCCACGUGGAGAAAACUGAAGAAUCAACUUUAAGACCUUUUUGAUGAGCCUGUUUUAAUCCUUCUCCUGCUCUAUCCCAAUUUUCCACAUAUGCAUCGUACAGCUUCUGUUAUUUCAGCUUCUACUCCAAGGGCUACAGCUGAAAUUUUCUACAAGAUUGUGUGUGUCUCCUGGGCACGCACACGCUGCAGCCUGGGCCCGCCGCCAGCGCUCCGCACUGCCUGGAGCCGCCUCCUUCAGCUUGGGACUCGCCAGGACAUCCUGAUAGUGUCCUUUUAAGUACAAAAGUUUUUAAUUUCAAUGAAGUCCAUCCAACUUACCGAUUUUAUUUUCUUUUUUGUUUGUACUUUUGGUGUCAUAUCUAAGAAUCCUUUCCUAAAUUUAAAGUCAUGAAGAUUUACGUUUAGUU
rnacentral:lncRNA from 1 species